UACGUAGGGCGCAAGCGUUGUCCGGAAUUAUUGGGCGUAAAGAGCUCGUAGGCGGCUUGUCACGUCGAUUGUGAAAGCCCGAGGCUUAACCUCGGGUCUGCAGUCGAUACGGGCUAGCUAGAGUGUGGUAGGGGAGAUCGGAAUUCCUGGUGUAGCGGUGAAAUGCGUAGAUAUCUGGAGGAACACCGGUGGCGAAGGCGGCAUCCUGGACCGGGAUUGACACUGAGGCGCGAAAGCCAGGGGAGCAAACGGG
rnacentral:rRNA from 1 species